rnacentral:rRNA from 1 species
CCGCUGAUUCCUCCUUUCUGAAGAACUGUAAUGUCAUUAAUUUGGUGUUGCAGGGAAACAGGACUGUUACUUUGAAAAAAUUAGAGUGUUUAAAGCAGGCUAACGCUUGAAUACAUUAGCAUGGAAUAAUGAAAUAGGACGUUCAAACCUAUUUUGUUGGUUUCUAGGAUUGACGUAAUGAUUAAUAGGGAUAGUUGGGGGCAUUAGUAUUCAAUUGUCAGAGGUGAAAUUCUUGGAUUUAUUGAAGACUAACUACUGCGAAAGCAUUUGCCAAGGAUGUUUUCAUUAAUCAAGAACGAAAGUUAGGGGAUCGAAGACGAUCAGAUACCGUCGUAGUCUUAACCAUAAACUAUGCCGACUAGGGAUCGGAUGAUGUUAAUUUUUUAAUGACUCAUUCGGC